GGGGACAACAGCCAGAAAUGGCUGCUAAUACCGCAUAAGCCUGCUGUGCCGCAUGGCACAGCAGGGAAAACCACGGUGGUACAGGAUGGGCCCGCGUCUGAUUAGUUAGUUGGCAGGGUAACGGCCUACCAAGACAACGAUCAGUAGCCGGCUUGAGAGAGUGGACGGCCACAUUGGGACUGAGACACGGCCCAGACUCCUGCGGGAGGCAGCAGUGGGGAAUAUUGCACAAUGGGGGGAACCCUGAUGCAGCAAUGCCGCGUGGGUGAAGAAGCACUCCGGUGCGUAAAGCCCUGUCAGCAGGGAAGAAAAUGACAGUACCUGGACAAGAAGCCCCGGCUAACUACGUGCCAGCAGCCGCGGUAAUACGUAGGGGGCAAGCGUUAUCCGGAUUUACUGGGUGUAAAGGGAGCGCAGGCGGCGUGGCAAGUCAGAUGUGAAAAUCCGGGGCCCAACCCCGGGAGUGCAUUUGAAACUGCCAUGCUGGAGUGCCGGAGAGGUAAGCGGAAUUCCUAGUGUAGCGGUGAAAUGCGUAGAUAUUAGGAGGAACACCAGUGGCGGAGGCGGCUUACUGGACGGUAACUGACGCUGAGGCUCGAAAGCGUGGGGAGCAAACAGGAUUAGAUACCCUGGUAGUCCACGCCGUAAACGAUGAA
rnacentral:rRNA from 1 species